AGAGUUUGAUCCUGGCUCAGAUUGAACGCUGGCGGCAGGCCUAACACAUGCAAGUCGAGCGGAUGAGGGUAGCUUGCUACCUGAUUCAGCGGCGGACGGGUGAGUAAUGCCUAGGAAUCUGCCCGAUAGUGGGGGACAACGUUUCGAAAGGAACGCUAAUACCGCAUACGUCCUACGGGAGAAAGCAGGGGACCUUCGGGCCUUGCGCUAUCGGAUGAGCCUAGGUCGGAUUAGCUAGUUGGUGGGGUAAAGGCUCACCAAGGCGACGAUCCGUAACUGGUCUGAGAGGAUGAUCAGUCACACUGGAACUGAGACACGGUCCAGACUCCUACGGGAGGCAGCAGUGGGGAAUAUUGGACAAUGGGCGAAAGCCUGAUCCAGCCAUGCCGCGUGUGUGAAGAAGGUCUUCGGAUUGUAAAGCACUUUAAGCUGGGAGGAAGGGCAGUAAGUUAAUACCUUGCUGUUUUGACGUUACCAGCAGAAUAAGCACCGGCUAACUUCGUGCCAGCAGCCGCGGUAA
rnacentral:rRNA from 1 species